rnacentral:rRNA from 1 species
CCUACGGGGGGCAGCAGUGGGGAAUAUUGGACAAUGGGGGCAACCCUGAUCCAGCCAUGCCGCGUGUGUGAAGAAGGCCCUCGGGUUGUAAAGCACUUUCAGUGAGGAAGAACGCCUGGUGGUUAAUACCCAUCAGGAAAGACAUCACUCACAGAAGAAGCACCGGCUAACUCCGUGCCAGCAGCCGCGGUAAUACGGAGGGUGCGAGCGUUAAUCGGAAUUACUGGGCGUAAAGCGCGCGUAGGUGGCUUGAUAAGCCGGUUGUGAAAGCCCCGGGCUCAACCUGGGAACGGCAUCCGGAACUGGCAAGCUAGAGUGCAGGAGAGGAAGGUAGAAUUCCCGGUGUAGCGGUGAAAUGCGUAGAGAUCGGGAGGAAUACCAGUGGCGAAGGCGGCCUUCUGGACUGACACUGACACUGAGGUGCGAAAGCGUGGGUAGCAAACAGGAUUAGAUACCCCGGUAGUC